GUGAGGAAUAUUGCGCAAUGGGGGCAACCCUGACGCAGCAACGCCGCGUGAGUGAGGAAGGUUUUCGGACUGUAAAGCUCUGUCGAGCGGGAAGAAGUGUACCAUGGCUAAUAUCCAUGAUAUUUGACGGUACCGCUAGAGGAAGCACCGGCUAACUCCGUGCCAGCAGCCGCGGUAAUACGGGGGGUGCAAGCGUUGUUCGGAAUUAUUGGGCGUAAAGAGCGUGUAGGCGGCUGAGCAAGUCAGAUGUGAAAGCCCCGGGCUUAACCCGGGAAGUGCAUUUGAAACUGUUCGGCUUGAGUAGGGGAGAGGAAAGUGGAAUUCCUGGUGUAGAGGUGAAAUUCGUAGAUAUCAGGAGGAACACCGGCGGCGAAGGCGACUUUCUGGCCCUAUACUGACGCUGAGACGCGAGAGCGUGGGUAGCAAACAGGAUUAGAAACCCGGGUAGUCC
rnacentral:rRNA from 1 species